GACGAACGCUGGCGGCGUGCUUAACACAUGCAAGUCGAACGGUAAGGCCCUUCGGGGUACACGAGUGGCGAACGGGUGAGUAACACGUGGGUGAUCUGCCCUGCACUUCGGGAUAAGCCUGGGAAACUGGGUCUAAUACCGGAUAGGACUCCUGGCUUCAUGGUUGGGGGUGGAAAGCUUUUGCGGUGUGGGAUGGGCCCGCGGCCUAUCAGCUUGUUGGUGGGGUAAUGGCCUACCAAGGCGACGACGGGUAGCCGGCCUGAGAGGGUGACCGGUCGGACUGGGACUGAGAUACGGCCCAGACUCCUACGGGAGGCAGCAGUGGGGAAUAUUGCACAAUGGGCGCAAGCCUGAUGCAGCGACGCCGCGUGAGGGAUGACGGCCUUCGGGUUGUAAACCUCUUUCAGCACCGACGAAGCGCAAGUGACGGUAGGUGCAGAAGAAGGACCGGCCAACUACGUGCCAGCCGCCGCCGUAA
rnacentral:rRNA from 1 species